rnacentral:rRNA from 1 species
UACGAGAGGCGCAAACGUUAUUCGGAUUUACUGGGCUUAAAGAGUUCGUAGGCGGCGCAGCAAGUAGGGUGUGAAAGCCCUCGGCUCAACCGAGGAAUUGCGCUCUAAACUACUGUGCUUGAGGAAGCUAGAGGUGAGCGGAACUGAUGGUGGAGCGGUGAAAAGCGUUGAUAUCAUCAGGAACACCGGAGGCGAAGGCGGCUCACUGGGGCUUAUCUGACGCUGAGGAACGAAAGCCAGGGGAGCGAACGGG